CUAACUAGCCUAGCUGCUCCUCCCUGCUGCUCUAGGCAGGUUCACAGUGUUAGCACACUAACUAGCCUAGCUGCUCCUCCCUGCUGCUCUAGGCAGGUUCACAGUGUUAGCACACUAACUAGCCUAGCUUCCCUCCCUGCUGCUCUAGGCAGGUUCACAGUGUUAGCACACUAACUAGCCUAGCUGCUCCUCCCUGCUGCUCUAGGCAGGUUCACAGUGUUAGCACACUAACUAGCCUAGCUGCUCCUCCCUGCUGCUCUAGGCAGGUUCACAGUGUUAGCACACUAACUAGCCUAGCUGCUCUAGGCAGGUUCACAGUGUUAGCACACUAACUAGCCUAGCUGCCCCUCCCUGCUUCUCUAGGCAGGUUCACAGUGUCCUUUCCUUAAAACAAAGACACACUUUGGCCCAGAAACCGGAUACACUCCCACUUCUCCUCCUUCUCUCUCUGCCUUUCUCCUUCUCUCAAUCUCCACCUCACACUUUCUUUCUCCCCUUCUCCCUCCUCACCCCGUCACUCUUUCCCUAUUUCUUUUUCUGCUUCUCUUUCUCCCUUCUCCUUCGCUCAACCCUCUCUUUCCUUCCUACCUCUCCUUUUCCUUCUCUUUCUUAUUCUCUCCAUUUCUCUCUCCCCACUGGUUUCACUUAAUAAGCUUCAAAGGUUUUCUGGGC
ensembl:lncRNA